rnacentral:rRNA from 1 species
AGAACGAACGCUGGCGGCAUGCCUAAUACAUGCAAGUCGAACGAACACUUCGGUGUUAGUGGCGCACGGGUGCGUAACGCGUGGGAAUCUGCCCUUGGGUUCGGAAUAACAGUUGGAAACGACUGCUAAUACCGGAUGAUAUCGAAAGAUCAAAGAUUUAUCGCCCAGGGAUGAGCCCGCGUAGGAUUAGCUAGUUGGUGAGGUAAAGGCUCACCAAGGCGACGAUCCUUAGCUGGUCUGAGAGGAUGAUCAGCCACACUGGGACUGAGACACGGCCCAGACUCCUACGGGAGGCAGCAGUAGGGAAUAGUUGGACAAGUGGGCGACAAGCCUGAUCCAGCAAUGCCGCGUGAGUGAUGAAGGCCUUAGGGGUUGUAAAGGCUUCUUUACCCGAGAUGAAUAAUGACAGUA